rnacentral:rRNA from 1 species
UCAAGUGAAGAAGCGCAUACGGUGGAUGCCUUGGCAGUCAGAGGCGAUGAAAGACGUGGUAGCCUGCGAAAAGCUUCGGGGAGUCGGCAAACAGACUGUGAUCCGGAGAUAUCUGAAUGGGGGAACCCAGCCAUCAUAAGAUGGUUAUCUUGUACUGAAUACAUAGGUGCAAGAGGCGAACCAGGGGAACUGAAACAUCUAAGUACCCUGAGGAAAAGAAAUCAACCGAGAUUCCCUUAGUAGUGGCGAGCGAACGGGGACCAGCCCUUAAGUUGUAUUGAGAUUAGCGGAACACUCUGGAAAGGGUGGCCAUAGUGGGUGAUAGCCCUGUACGCGAAAAUCCCUUUGCAAUGAAAUCGAGUAGGACGGGGCACGAGAAACCUUGUCUGAAUAUGGGGGGACCAUCCUCCAAGGCUAAAUACUACUGACUGACCGAUAGUGAACCAGUACCGUGAGGGAAAGGCGAAAAGAACCGCGGAGAGCGGAGUGAAAUAGAUCCUGAAACCGUAUGCGUACAAGCAGUGGGAGCCCACUUUGUUGGGUGACUGCGUACCUUUUGUAUAAUGGGUCAGCGACUUAUUUUCAGUGGCGAGCUUAACCGAAUAGGGGAGGCGUAGCGAAAGCGAGUCUUAAUAGGGCGUCUAGUCGCUGGGAAUAGACCCGAAACCGGGCGAUCUAUCCAUGGGCAGGUUGAAGGUUGGGUAACACUAACUGGAGGACCGAACCGACUACCGUUGAAAAGUUAGCGGAUGACCUGUGGAUCGGAGUGAAAGGCUAAUCAAGCUCGGAGAUAGCUGGUUCUCCUCGAAAGCUAUUUAGGUAGCGCCUCAUGUAUCACUGUAGGGGGUAGAGCACUGUUUCGGCUAGGGGGUCAUCCCGACUUACCAAACCGAUGCAAACUCCGAAUACCUACAAGUGCCGAGCAUGGGAGACACACGGCGGGUGCUAACGUCCGUCGUGAAAAGGGAAACAACCCAGACCGUCAGCUAAGGUCCCAAAGUCAUGGUUAAGUGGGAAACGAUGUGGGAAGGCUUAGACAGCUAGGAGGUUGGCUUAGAAGCAGCCACCCUUUAAAGAAAGCGUAAUAGCUCACUAGUCGAGUCGGCCUGCGCGGAAGAUGUAACGGGGCUCAAACCAUGCACCGAAGCUACGGGUAUCAUCUUAGGAUGAUGCGGUAGAGGAGCGUUCUGUAAGCCUGUGAAGGUGAGUUGAGAAGCUUGCUGGAGGUAUCAGAAGUGCGAAUGCUGACAUGAGUAACGACAAUGGGUGUGAAAAACACCCACGCCGAAAGACCAAGGUUUCCUGCGCAACGUUAAUCGACGCAGGGUUAGUCGGUCCCUAAGGCGAGGCUGAAAAGCGUAGUCGAUGGAAAACAGGUUAAUAUUCCUGUACUUCUGGUUAUUGCGAUGGAGGGACGGAGAAGGCUAGGCCAGCCUGGCGUUGGUUGUCCAGGUUUAAGGUGGUAGGCUGAGAUCUUAGGUAAAUCCGGGAUCUUAAGGCCGAGAGCUGAUGACGAGUGUUCUUUUAGAACACGAAGUGGUUGAUGCCAUGCUUCCAAGAAAAGCUUCUAAGCUUCAGGUAACCAGGAACCGUACCCCAAACCGACACAGGUGGUUGGGUAGAGAAUACCAAGGCGCUUGAGAGAACUCGGGUGAAGGAACUAGGCAAAAUGGCACCGUAACUUCGGGAGAAGGUGCGCCGGUGGAGGUGAAGCAUUUACUGCGUAAGCCCCUGCCGGUCGAAGAUACCAGGCCGCUGCGACUGUUUAUUAAAAACACAGCACUCUGCAAACACGAAAGUGGACGUAUAGGGUGUGACGCCUGCCCGGUGCCGGAAGGUUAAUUGAUGGGGUUAGCGCAAGCGAAGCUCUUGAUCGAAGCCCCGGUAAACGGCGGCCGUAACUAUAACGGUCCUAAGGUAGCGAAAUUCCUUGUCGGGUAAGUUCCGACCUGCACGAAUGGCGUAACGAUGGCGGCGCUGUCUCCACCCGAGACUCAGUGAAAUUGAAAUCGCUGUGAAGAUGCAGUGUAUCCGCGGCUAGACGGAAAGACCCCGUGAACCUUUACUAUAGCUUUGCACUGGACUUUGAAUUUGCUUGUGUAGGAUAGGUGGGAGGCUUUGAAGCGUGGACGCCAGUCUGCGUGGAGCCAACCUUGAAAUACCACCCUGGCAACUUUGAGGUUCUAACUCAGGUCCGUUAUCCGGAUCGAGGACAGUGUAUGGUGGGUAGUUUGACUGGGGCGGUCUCCUCCUAAAGAGUAACGGAGGAGUACGAAGGUGCGCUCAGACCGGUCGGAAAUCGGUCGUAGAGUAUAAAGGCAAAAGCGCGCUUGACUGCGAGACAGACACGUCGAGCAGGUACGAAAGUAGGUCUUAGUGAUCCGGUGGUUCUGUAUGGAAGGGCCAUCGCUCAACGGAUAAAAGGUACUCCGGGGAUAACAGGCUGAUACCGCCCAAGAGUUCAUAUCGACGGCGGUGUUUGGCACCUCGAUGUCGGCUCAUCACAUCCUGGGGCUGAAGCCGGUCCCAAGGGUAUGGCUGUUCGCCAUUUAAAGUGGUACGCGAGCUGGGUUUAGAACGUCGUGAGACAGUUCGGUCCCUAUCUGCCGUGGACGUUUGAGAUUUGAGAGGGGCUGCUCCUAGUACGAGAGGACCGGAGUGGACGAACCUCUGGUGUUCCGGUUGUCACGCCAGUGGCAUUGCCGGGUAGCUAUGUUCGGAAAAGAUAACCGCUGAAAGCAUCUAAGCGGGAAACUUGCCUCAAGAUGAGAUCUCACUGGAACCUUGAGUUCCCUGAAGGGCCGUCGAAGACUACGACGUUGAUAGGUUGGGUGUGUAAGCGCUGUGAGGCGUUGAGCUAACCAAUACUAAUUGCCCGUGAGGCUUGACCAU